rnacentral:rRNA from 1 species
CCUACGGGAGGCAGCAGUGGGGAAUAUUGCACAAUGGGGGAAACCCUGAUGCAGCGACGCCGCGUGAGUGAAGAAGUAUUUCGGUAUGUAAAGCUCUAUCAGCAGGGAAGAAAACCACCCUCCGGGGUGGCUGACGGUACCUGACUAAGAAGCCCCGGCUAACUACGUGCCAGCAGCCGCGGUAAUACGUAGGGGGCGAGCGUUAUCCGGAUUCAAUGGGUGUAAAGGGAGCGUAGACGGCCGUGCAAGCCAGGAGUGAAAGCCCGGGGCCCAACCCCGGGAAUGCUAUUGGAACUGUGCGGCUGGAGUGCGGGAGGGGCAGGCGGAAGUGCUGGUGUAGGGGUGAAAUGCGUAGAUAUCAGGAGGAACACCGGCGGCGAAGGCGGCCUGCUGGAACGCGACUGACGUUGAGGCUCGAAAGCGUGGGGAGCGAACAGGAUUAGAUACCCGGGUAGUC